rnacentral:rRNA from 1 species
AUUGAACGCUGGCGGCAGGCCUAACACAUGCAAGUCGAACGGUAGCACAGGAGGGCUUGCUCUCUGGGUGACGAGUGGCGGACGGGUGAGUAAGGCAUGGGGAGCUGCCCAAUCGAGGGGGAUACCAGCUGGAAACGGCUGCUAAUACCGCAUACGCCCUGAGGGGGAAAGGUGGGGACCUUCGGGCCUACCGCGAUAGGAUGCACCCAUGUGGGAUUAGCUAGUUGGUGAGGUAACGGCUCACCAAGGCGACGAUCUCUAGCUGGUCUGAGAGGAUGACCAGCCACACUGAACUGAGACACGGUCCAGACUCCUACGGGAGGCAGCAGUGGGGAAUAUUGCACAAUGGGGGAAACCCUGAUGCAGCCAUGCCGCGUGUGUGAAGAAGGCCUUCGGGUUGUAAAGCACUUUCAGUGGGGAGGAAGGGGCGAUGCCUAAUACGCAUUGUCAUUGACGUUACCCACAGAAGAAGCACCGGCUAACUCCGUGCCAGCAGCCGCGGUAACAC